ensembl:misc_RNA Metazoa_SRP Metazoan signal recognition particle RNA
GCCGGGUGCGGUGGCUCACACCUGUAAUCCUAGCAUUUGGGAGGCCAAGGCGGGUGGAUCACUUGAGGUCAGGAGUUUGACACCAGCCUGGCCAACAUGGUGAAACCCCGUCUUUA